rnacentral:rRNA from 1 species
GACGAACGCUGGCGGCGUGCUUAACACAUGCAAGUCAAGGGGCCGCAAGGCAACCGCGAACGGGUGCGUAACACGUGAGCAACCUGCCUAGGUGUGGGGGAUAGCCGGCCCAACGGCCGGGUAAUACCGCAUAGGUUCUUCUGGGGGAGUCCUUGGGAGAGCAAACCUGUCGCAAGACGGGGCAUUUAGAGGGGCUCGCGGCCUAUCAGCUAGUUGGCGGUGUAACGGACCACCAAGGCGACGACGGGGUAGCUGGUCUGAGAGGAUGAUCAGCCACACUGGGACUGAGACACGGCCCAGACUCCUACGGGAGGGCAGCAGGUGGGGAAUUUUGGACAAUGGGGGGAAACCCUGAUCCAGCCAUGCCGCGUGAGUGAUGAAGGCCUUAGGGUUGUAAAGCUCUUUUGCCAGGGACGAUGA